CAGUAGCCACGGUAAGACGGAGGGGGCUAGCGUUGUUCGGAAUUACUGGGCGUAAAGCGCACGUAGGCGGAUAUUUAAGUCAGGGGUGAAAUCCCGCAGCUCAACUGCGGAACUGCCUUUGAUACUGGGUAUCUUGAGUAUGGAAGAGGUUAGUGGAAUUGCGAGUGUAGAGGUGAAAUUCGUAGAUAUUCGCAGGAACACCAGUGGCGAAGGCGGCUAACUGGUCCAUAACUGACGCUGAGGUGCGAAAGCGUGGGGAGCAAACAGGAUUAGAGACCCCUGUAGUCCCUGUCUCUUAUAC
rnacentral:rRNA from 1 species